ACGUAGGGAGCGAGCGUUGUCCGGAAUUACUGGGCGUAAAGGGCGCGUAGGCGGGUGUUUAAGUCAGAUGUGAAAACUAUGGGCUCAACCCAUAGAUUGCAUUUGAAACUGGGCAUCUUGAGGGCAGGAGAGGAAAGUGGAAUUCCUAGUGUAGCGGUGAAAUGCGUAGAUAUUAGGAGGAACACCAGUGGCGAAGGCGACUUUCUGGACUGUACCUGACGCUGAGGCGCGAAAGCGUGGGGAGCGAACAG
rnacentral:rRNA from 1 species